AAUCAACGCUGGCGGCGUGCCUAACACAUGCAAGUCGAACGCGAAAGUGGAGCAAUCCAUGAGUAGAGUGGCAAACGGGUGAGUAACACGUGGGUGACCUGCCUUCGAGUGGGGAUAACGUCCCGAAAGGGACGCUAAUACCGCAUGACAUGCUGUCUUUGAAUAGACGGACAUCAAAGCCGGGGAUCGCAAGACCUGGCGCUAGAAGAGGGGCCCGCGCCNGAUUAGCUAGUUGGUGGGGUAAUGGCUCACCAAGGCAACGAUCAGUAUCCGGCCUGAGAGGGCGGACGGACACACUGGGACUGAGACACGGCCCAGACUCCUACGGGAGGCAGCAGUGGGAAUUGUUCGCAAUGGGCGAAAGCCUGACGACGCAACGCCGCGUGGAGGACGAAGAUCUUCGGGUCGUAAACUCCUUUCGAUCGAGACGAAUGGCCCUUGGGUCAAUACCCUGAGGGAAUGACGGUACCGAGAGAAGAAG
rnacentral:rRNA from 1 species